rnacentral:lncRNA from 1 species
CCUUGAACAAUACCAUUUAAAGGAUUAAAAUAGUCCGUUCAUGUAAAUAGAGUUCAAAUGCUAUUACAACAUUCCAUUAUUCUGAAAUUACAUACUAAAUCUGAAUAACUGAACUACCAUAAGCUAUUAGCAUGAACCUAUAACCCCACAUAAACUAGAAAUUGAACUACUACCCGACUGAAGCAUUCAAUCACAUGAAAUAGCAGUAAAUAAUAGUAAUUACAUCAGAGUCCAUUCAAACUUCAACUUGAAUUCCCAGAUCCUCAUACAUGCUAGUCAUAAUUAAAUUCCAUGACAAGUUUAGAAGGUAUACCUGGAAAUUGCAAAAGGAAAAGAGGUGAAUGUAAUAAACAGCAACAGAACAACCCAGAUUUAUCGAUUGAAACACUAAAACCAGCUUGAAAAUUCAAUGAAAUGGUGAUUCUUAACAACUUGAACCAGAAAACUCUUCCAAAACUCAAUAUCACUCUAUAUGAACUCUCAGAAUAAGUCAGAAAAUAUGUCAAGACUUGAAAACUUCAGAAAUUGACCAUGAAAGGAAAAGAAGAUUCAAUUGAACAGUGAAACUCCUAUCCGUUUCUUUUUCUGGAUUUUAUAUCACUAAAGUUCUCUAUUGUUCUCCUUUGUUUAUUUUUUCUUCUUCUUAGCCCCCCCUCAAGCUCUGUAUUUUCCAGUCCUUAAAUAGGCAUUCAAUUAGUGCCAUGCCCAUUAUCAAUUCAACUUUUCUAUUUUUAAAUUAUCUACACUAGCUUAGUACCUUUUAAUUAAUUUAGUAGUGAAUUUCCUAAACCCUACCAUUGUAAAAGCUUCCUAAAGUUUGGUAAACACUUUUUUGUUGAACAAUUCUCCAACUACCCCUUAAAAAUCCCCAUUUAUUUUUUAAAACAAACAGACAUGAGCCAAAUUGACCUAAAUUAAAUGGUCAUGGGUCUGUACAUCUCGAGUAGAAUCCCCUUUCUUGGGCUUCUAAUUCCAGAACCCAAGUUCAAAUCAUCAAACAAAAUUAUUGGCCUAAAUGACCUACAGAGUCAUAAAGACUCGUAAGGUUCUAGGCUUAAAGAAAAGUAGAAACAAAUGAACUUGAACAAUAUCUAAUACAACAAACAGAAUCAUGCUUACUAAAAAAAACUUUAUCAAACAUGCAAAUUUGGAAGUAAUUGGACCACCGGAACUGCCGUGAGGCGAUUUUCGGUGGGCGGAAGGCGGCGGAGUGAGGUGGUGAGACAGGGGUGUCUCUGAAGAGAGGUGAGAAACGUAUGAGGGGGG